rnacentral:rRNA from 1 species
AGAGUUUGAUCCUGGCUCAGAUUGAACGCUGGCGGCAUGCCUAACACAUGCAAGUCGAACGGUAACAGAUAAGAUGAUCUCUUCGGAGUGAAUCUUUGCUGACGAGUGGCGGACGGGUGAGUAAUGCUUGGGAAUCUGCCCAAUAGUGGGGGAAAACUCGGGGAAACCCGGGCUAAUACCGCAUAAUCUCUACGGAGGAAAGAGGGCCUCUACAUGUAAGCUCUCGCUAAUGGAUGAGCCCAAGUCAGAUUAGCUAGUUGGUAAGGUAAUGGCUUACCAAGGCUACGAUCUGUAGCUGGUCUGAGAGGAUGAUCAGCCACACUGGGACUGAGACACGGCCCAGACUCCUACGGGAGGCAGCAGUGGGGAAUAUUGCACAAUGGGCGCAAGCCUGAUGCAGCAAUGCCGCGUGUGUGAAGAAGGCUCUAGGGUUGUAAAGCACUUUCAAUAGAGAAGAAAAGCUUGAAAUUAAUACUUUCAAGCCUUGACGUAAUCUA